UAAAAUUAUAAAAAAACACAACAAAACUCCUUUAAUAAAUAAAAUUAAAUCUUUUAAUAAUUCAAAUAAAACAUUUUUUUUAAUAACUGUAAAGGCUUUUAAAAAUUUUUAAAAAAAGACUUUUUAUACCUUUUGUAUAAGGGUUCUAUAAAAAACAAACUUAAUUUUUUUUUCCCGAAAAAAAAUGAACUAUUAUUUGUUAAAAUAUAAAUAUUAAAUAAUUUAUAUACAACACAUAAUAGAAUUUAAAUGAAAUACAUAUUUUUUAUAUCUGGUUAAAAUAAAUAUUAUUUUAGAUAAGGAUAAUUAAAUUUUUUAAAAUAAAAUAAAAAAUUAUCCUUUUUAUUAAAUAAAAGUUUAAUAAAUAGAAGAUAAAUAAACUCUUACACUUAAUAAAAAAUUUAAUAUUUAUUAAAAAUUGUUAUAAAUUAAUUACACACUAAUCAUAAUAAUAUAUUCUUUAAUAAUAAUAAUAAAAUAAAUUUUAAUUUUAUAAAAAAAUUUAGAAAUUAGUAUAAAAACAUUUUUAUUUUUUAAAAACUCGACAAAAAAAAUAUUUAACUGUUUAAUAAAAACAUUUUUUUUAGUUAUUAUUAAAAAUAAAUUCUGCUCAAUGAUAAAUUUUUAAAUUGCUAAAGUAUUUUGACUUUACAAAGGUAUUGAAAUAAGAUUUUAAUUGAAUGCUAAAAGAAUGGAUUAAUAAGUAUUAUUUAUUUUAAAAAUAAAAAUAUAAAUUCAUUUAAAAAUGAAAAAGUUUUUAUAAUCAUAUGGGACAAGAAGACCCUGUGAAUUUUUAAUUAAACAACAUCUAUUUAUUAUUUAAUUUUGAUUGGGGCGAUAAAAAAAUAUUAAAAAACUUUAUUUUUAAGAUAAAAUUUACAUUAAUGAAAAAUACUCCAGGGAUAACAGCGUAAUUAUUAUGGAAAGCUCAUAUUGAUAUAAUAGUUUACGACCUCGAUGUUGAAUUAAUAAAUCUAAAUAAAGCAGAAUUUAUUUAAGAAAGAUUGCUCAUCUUUUAAAUUAUUACAUGAUUUGAGUUUAAACCGGCGUGAGCCAGGUUAGUUUCUAUCUAUAAAUAAAAAUAUUUUAAUUUAGUACGAAAGGAUUAAUUAAAAAUAAAUUUUAUCAGUUAUUAAAAAAUAUAUAAGAAUAGCUAUAUUAAUUUAUAUUAUUAAAUAAUAACUAACUUUUU